rnacentral:rRNA from 1 species
UCUACGGGAGGCAGCAGUGGGGAAUAUUGCACAAUGGGGGAAACCCUGAUGCAGCGACGCCGCGUGAAGGAAGAAGUAUUUCGGUAUGUAAACUUCUAUCAGCAGGGAAGAAAAUGACGGUACCUGACUAAGAAGCCCCGGCUAACUACGUGCCAGCAGCCGCGGUAAUACGUAGGGGGCGAGCGUUAUCCGGAUUCACUGGGUGUAAAGGGAGCGUAGACGGCCAAGCAAGCCAGGGGUGAAAGCCCGGGGCCCAACCCCGGGACUGCCCUUGGAACUGCAUGGCUGGAGUGCGGGAGGGGCAGGCGGAAUUCCUGGUGUAGCGGUGAAAUGCGUAGAUAUCAGGAGGAACACCGGCGGCGAAGGCGGCCUGCUGGACCGCGACUGACGUUGAGGCUCGAAAGCGUGGGGAGCGAACAGGAUUAGAUACCCUAGUAGUC